rnacentral:lncRNA from 1 species
GGUCCGCCAUGUUCUUCUCCGCGGCGCUCCGGGCCAAGGCGGCAGGCCUCAUCGCCCAGUGGGUAAGGAGGUUCGGAAUGAGCCCCGGCACUGCCGCCACUCUCCCCUAUUUUUCGGUGUCUCCUUUUGUGGUGGGCACACGAGAACCCUGGGCUCUGGACGACCUGCAGGCGGCGGCAAGGACACUGCGGCCUUCGUCCUCUCUCAGGGAGGCCGCUGCAGCUCCACCGCCGGCGAGGAGCUCCGAGGGAGGGUCGCAGACGUAGCUGCUGCGGGUGCGUGGCCUCCCCCACAGGACUGGGAAGUUUACGCCUAGUGUGGUCAAGGAGAGGAAGAAGGAGGGGCCGCCGGUGGUCUGUUGCUGUUUCGCCCCAGCGCGGAACGUAGGCCUGGCCUCGUCGGCCAGAUAGGUUUCUAAGAUCCCCCGCCCACGAAGGAGGCACCUUACCUUGCAUAUCAAGCCUGGUGACCUUGUUGCCGGCCUGUAGUAGCGCACUGGAAAUAGGCUCUGGCUUGCUGGUUGAAAGCUUAAAGAGCGUUUCCUUAGGGCACGGUGUUUGAUUUACUGCAGUUGUGUUUUGCAUAUCGGAAAAGUUCGAUAAAUAAUCGUGUCACAUUAACCCUAUGAAAGAACACCAUCAGAAAAACUGCACCCAGAAGGAUUUAGAACUUGAAUGGGCUUCUGAGAUCCAAGUACAUGCUCUUAUUUUAGGCAAGGACGUUGAAUCGAAACACGCAUUCAAGUUAACUUAAUGGUGAUUUCCAGGAAUGGCGAUUUUUACAGCAUUUACUGGAAGGAAGCCUUUUUUUUCCCCUAGCAGUAAAAUAGAGAGGUUGAGUCAGUUUUUAGCAGAAGAGUGGGAGAUAGUGCAUAGUAGAAUUGAAUAGGGCUUUAGAAUUGGACCUGAGUUUAGAUAGUGGCUUCACCGCCUUUUCUAGCUUUGUGACAUUGGGCUGUAAUUUCUUGCACUUAGUUUUCUUGGUCGUAAAACGGGAGGAAUAUUCCAAUUUGCAGAGUUUAGUCGUUCAAUAAACAUUUGAGGUUCGACUUCACUGCUGGGCUGCAGGAACAACGUGGAUAAUAGUGAUAAGUAACAUUUGGUGAUUACUUUUCAUGUGCCAAGCACUGUUAAAUGUUCACAUUCUGAAUCUAAUAGUUGGUACUAUUUCUUUAUAUUACGGAUAAACAGACUUAGUCCCUGUUCUUGCGGAGUUGAAACUUUAAGGUAAAUAUCGUACAGUGUUAAGAGAUAUGAAUAAAGUCAAUUUGGUUUGAAGGUGGUAUAAGAUUUUUUCUAGAGGCAAUACUAACAUCGGUGAGGAGAUAUUCUAGAUGGAAAGGACAACAUCAGAAAAAACUAUUGAUAGUUGGCAAGAAAAAACUUGGUGCCUAUAGGAAGCCUCAAGCAGUGUUGCUGGACUCCAUUGUUGGAAGUAAGGUGAAUCCAGAGAUGAAAUAAGAGGUGGAUAGGGCCCAGGUGUUGGAGCUCCUUGCAUGCCGUGCCAUAGAAUUUGGCUUUAUGUUGGAAGCAGUGUGGAGUCAGUGAAGGAUUUUAGAGAAGCAGAGGGUCAUGGCCAGGUUUCCCCGUAUUGGAUAGAUGACUGGAUGGAGUGAGGGAAUACAUUUGCCAGGAGCCAGAGGCAGGGAGGUGAAAUAGAUAAACAGGCUCUUGCAGAACCCCAGGUGAGAGGUGAUGAAGUAGACCUUGUCUACUAGUAGAAAGGCUAGAAUUAAGAGUACAGAUAGAUUUUCUCCAGGUUUUGAGGGAAAGGGCUAUAGGUGAAAAUUGAAGAAUAUCUUCAGGUAGUGGAAGAAAUUUCAAUCAAAUUUUAUGUUUCUGCAACAGUUUUUUAUUUGUACAAAUAUUACCUGGCAUGUAGUAUGUGCACAAUAAAUAUUUGUUGACUUGAUGAAUCAGUAAGUUUUUCUUUUUUUCCCCAGUUUUACUGAACAAUAAUUGACACAUCUCUGUGUAAGUUUAAGGUGUAUAGCCUGAUGAUUUGAUUUAUGUUUGAUUUCAUUACACAAGUAAUACAUCGUAGGGAAAACAUGAUUUUGGGAACAGCAAACAGAAUAAGCUCAAAAAAUAAAAAUUACCCAUAAUCUCAUCAACCUGGAAAUAACCAAAAUGUGAACAUUUUUGUGUCUAGAAUUGAGAGACCUUACAGUAAAAAUUGAUGGUAUUGUUCACAUUGUUAUGUAGCCUGUUUUUUUCCCAUAAAAACAUUGUUGAUCCACUUUCCUUACCAGUAGACAUUUCUAUACUGUCAUUUUUUUUUUAAUGUUUGUUUAUUUUUGAGACAGAGAGAGACAGAGCAUGAACAGGAGAGGAGCAGAGAGAGGGAGACACAGAAUCCGAAACAGGCUCCAGGCUCCGAGCUGUCAGCACAGAGCCCGAUGCGGGGCUCGAACUCACAGACCGUGAGAUCCUGACCUGAGCCAAAGUCGGCCGCUUAACCAAGUGAGCCACCCAGGCGCCCCUAUACUGUCAUUUUUAAUGCUGCAUAGCAUUCCAUUGUGAGGAUGUUCUAUAACUUAUAUAACCAGGUCCUUUUCCAAAUAGUGUAAUAUCAGAAUGACCUAGGAAAUGUGUGAGUAAAGAGGUGCCUUUUAAUAAAGGUUGUUUCUUAAAAAAGAAACCAUUAAGGAAACUCUUUACAUUUUCAAAGAAAUUGCUUAUUGUUACAAUUUCUGCUGCAUUAAUUUCUUCAGCCACAGACUUGAGUUCAUCAUUGAUUUAAAAAUACCCAUAACAGUACUGUCUAGAAGUGCCUACAAGACCAUAGUUGUGUGACCAUGAAUCAUAUUUCUUAAUCUCUUGAAGUCUUCUGUAAAAAGUACAGUAACACUUUGAUUAUCAAGAAUUGCCUAAAAAAUGUGAAUUAUGGAGUAGUAAAUAGUCAGAAUAGGCUUAUUCUCUUCAGUAAUUUUCCAUGGCUUUUGAGUUGUUGACACCACUUUGGAGCUCAUCGCUGCUUCAUUUCCAAGCCACCACUUCAGUAGGAGUGAGUGGCAUUUUCAAGGAUUGUAUUUUCAGUUUUAGAAAUUUUUUUUCAAUUUCAGAAUUUUCAUUUGGUUCUUUUUUAUAGUGUCUAUUCGAUUUUUUUGUUCAUUGAAGUGUUUUUUUUUUUCAAACAUGGGUGUAACAGUUUUGAAAUUGUUGUGUGGUAAUCUCCAUUUACUGCCUUCUCUUUUAAAAAUGGGCUGUUGAGUAAUUUUGAAUUGUAUCCUGGACAUUGUGAACAAUAAAUCAUAGAGACUCUCAAUUUUUCUAAUUUCUCCAUAAGUGUUUGUUGUGCAGGCUGUUAACUCAAUUGAACUUGAACUAUAAUCCAGCUCCCUUGUAGGCAGCACCUCAAAUACUGGUUCAGUUCUUUUAGCUGGGCUGCCUGGAGUUGGCCCCAUGUGCAUGCAGGCCUUGGGGUCAGCCAACGGAAUGGGGCUUCUCUCUGGCUUACUUUUCUGGGAUUUCGCACUUUCCCAUGCCUGUUGUCCCAUACUGUUCUGUGGGUCUUCAAGUCAUUAAGACUGCAGGUUUUCUCUUUUGGUUUUAGUUGCCCAGCACAGGCCUGUGGGCCUGCUUUUAGGCUAAAAGAUAUAGAGUGUAAAGCAAAAAAACCUUCAUUGGCUUCUUCUAAGUAUAGACUCCCUUUGGUGUCUUCCUGCACUUGGUUGUUUUCCAGUGCCUUCAGAAAGUGUUUUGGUUUUUUAAAAAUAAUUUGCCCAGUGUUUAUAGUUGUUAGUGGUUUGGCCUGAUAACAUCUACUCAGCCACUCUAGAAGUAGAACCUCCUUCUACUAGUGGCAUUUUUCUUUCUAAACUUUAAGUUUUGUAGAAUGGACUGUUUUCUCAUUUCAUUAGAGAUCAUUAAACCUGAUUUUGCAGUGUCCCAGGGUAUCUCCAUUUUGACUCAAGGACUCUAAAGGAGUUCUUUAACAACAACAACAAAAAAGGCAUUUGUAUUAGUGUUUUUAUUGCUACUAUUACAAAUUACCAUAAACUUAGUGACAUAACACAGAUUUAUUGUCUUAUGAUUGUGUAAAUUAAAAGUUUGACAUGGAUCUCACUGGGCUAAAAUCAAGGUGUUGGCAGAGCUAUUGGAAUACUGUAGGGGACAAGCCAUUAUUUUGACUUUUCUAGCUCCUAGAAAAAGCUGCCCUUAUUUGUUGGCUCAUGGCUCCUUUCUUCCAUCUUCAAAGCCAGCAAAGGCAGGUUAAGCUGUUGCAUCAGUGACCCUGCUUCCAUCAUUUGUGACAUAUCCUUCUCUAACUUUGUUCCCUCUUUCACAUUUAAAGGGCCCUGAUAAUCCAGAAUAGGAAUCUCCCUAUUUUUAGGUCAACUAAUUAGUAAUCUUAAUUCCAUCUGCAACCAUAUUUCUCUCUUGCUAUGCAUACUAAUACAUUCACAGCUUUCCAGGAUUAGGAAAUGGGUAUUUGGGGGGCACUAUUACUCUGCCUGCCAUGGCCUUAAACACUUCAGGGGAAAGAGAAAAUAGGCAAAAUUUUUGUUUAUUCAGUGAGGUUUAAUAGACCACUACUGCAUACUACAAAUUCAGAUCUUUUAUAUUGGAGAUGUAAACUCAGUCUCCAUUUCAAAGAUAUAAAUAGCUGUACUUCCCUUAUCUUUGCAUACUGUUUAAUAACAGCUCAGUACAUUGGGUAAUAAAUAAUAGGUUCAUUGACCAUGUCAGUCUGGUUUUCCAUUGAGAAACCUUGACUCACCCACUACUUUUUGAGUCAGAUCAGGAAACCUGUUAUAAAUUGGUUGCAGGAGAUUUUUUUCAUUCAACAAGCACUAAAGAUUUAACAUUUAAACACACUUUUUCUUUGCCUUGUUGGUGGAGAGGGAAAAUGCCUUAUACGUGGGAUACUUUUCUGGGUGUUAUCCCAUUUUGUACAUGAGACAGCUGAUGAUUUCCAGACAAAUAUGCCCCAAAUUACACAGUAGUAGGAGCCUGAACUGGGUUUGUUUGCAAGUCCUAUUUUUUGUUUCUUCUUUUAAAUUUAUUUUUCUUAAGUUGCUCAAAUUUACCAAGGGAAAUUGGCGUGUUUGGUGAAGAUUUAAGUUUUAUAGAUGCUAUAAUAGUAGAAUAGUUUGUCAGUGUGAUCAGAAACCAGGGGUGAUUUCACUGUACUUAAAGGAAGAGAGUGGAGGGGAUAAGAAGAACAGGUUAACUUUGGUCAUGAUGGGUGCAAUUUUGUUCCUAAGGAGAUACCAUGAUAGUUCCUUAUCAUCACUGACUAAAAUAUUCCUUAAUAUCCCUCAGUACUUCCAGAGAUUCUGGGUUGGAAAAGAUAGCCUAGCAUUUCUUGUUCUUGGCAUCCUUAAAUUUUGAAGACCAUUCAGAAAAUCCAUCAUCUGCAUGUUAGGAUAUAGAUGCCAUAUACUCUAAAGCAGUAAAUCCCAAACUUGAUUAAAGGAAUCGUCUCUAUACUCUGUCUCUCUGUCUCAAAAAUAAAUAAACGUUAAAAAAAAAAAAAAAAAAGAAUCGUCUAUGAUGCUUUAAAAAUAAACAUACUUGUGGCACCUGCAUGCUCAGUCAGUUAAGCGUCCAACUUGAUUUCGGCUCAGGUCAUGAUCUCAAGGUUCAAGAAUUGGAGCCCCAUAUUGGGCUCUGUGCUGACAGUGUGGAGCCUGCUUGAGAUUCUCUCUCCCUGUCUGUCUCUCUCUGCUCUUCUGCUUGCUCUCAAUCUCUUUCUCUAAAAUAAAUAAAUACACCUACUUUGGGGGCACCUGGGUAGCUCAGUUGGUUGAGUAUCCGUCAUUGGUUCACGUCAAGAUCUCAUGGUCAUGAGAUGGAGCCCUGUGUGGAGUCUGCUUGGGACUCUGUCUGCCUCUCUCUCUGCCCCUCCACUGCUCUCAUGCAUGCACUUGCUCUCUCAAAAUAAAUAAAUAAAAGUGUAAAAAAAAAAAAAAAUACAUACUUGAGCUCCACCCGGUCAUAGGUUUACUAAAUUUUAAACAAUAUAUGCUUGUCUGAGUAUUAGUCCCUAAGACUAGAAAAUAAGACAACUUAUAUUUACAGAGCAUUUGUUCAUGUUUAUUUGAUUUUCAAAUUAAACAAAAAAAAAUUGUGCUUAGGUUUUACCAAUUCUUUUUUUUUUAAUGUUUAUUUAUUUUGAGAGAGAGAAGGAGAGAGGGCAGAGAGAGGGGGAGAGAGAGAAUCCCAAGCAGGUCUGAGCUGUCCGCACAAAGCUGGACAGGGGCCCCUAACUUGCGAACCAUUGAGAUCAUGACCUGAGCCGAAAUCAAGAGUUGUACGCUUAACCGACUGAGCCACCUAGGCACCCCCUUACCAGUUAAUUCUUUAGGCCCAAAGCUCUUCAAAUCACUUAACCUUUUGAAAAUGAAUGUUUGCUCCUACAGUCAACUUGUAAUUAUUUAGGGUCUUAUUUGUUUUUGUAAUUAUUGAGGCCUAUAGCUUGGCCAUUUUAUUUCCUUCAUUUUAAUGGAGCACAAGAAGAAAAGAUAAUGGGAAAUUGGGAGUGUUACUGUUUAAUUAAAGUUCCAGUAAUAAUAAUAAUGAUAAUAAUGAUAGUGGCCAGUACACGAGUACUUAUAAUGAUACUUUGCUAAAUAUUUCAUCUCAUUUCAUCUUUAACAGUUUAAGAUAGGUAUUGCUGUGAUUUUAUAGGUAAGCACGCUUAGUUAUGGAGAGGUAGAGUGACUUGCCCAAAGUUACCAUACUAGAAUUGGCAAAGGUGUGACUGAACCUAGGUCUGCUGGCUAAAAUGAUACUUGGAUAUUUCAUUUCUAGGAAGUAUCCCUAUUGUUAGAAUAUUUGAGUGUUGCUUAUAUCCACAUUGGAUUUUACAUGUUUAAAGAGUGCUUUGUUUAAUUUAUGGUCAGGAUAGAUAGUAUUGUUGCUAUUGAUAUGGUUAUUUUAAUCUGUAAUGCUCCUGUAAUACCUGGGCUUUUUGGGUAGCUUUUCUGUUACAUAAUUUGGCCAAAUUUUGCUUGUUAAUUCUCUUAUACAGUGCUAGAAAAAUCUGAUUUCUUUAAUCUGAAUUAACAUUUUUAAAUUAUUGAUGGAAUUUUAUUUGGAAGACAUUUGUAAGAGCCCUCCCAUGUAUAGUUGAAAAUAUUAACAAAACUUAAUUUUAGUAGUCAGGAAAACUUAUGUUUGGCUUUUCAUUUAUUUAGCUGUGUGAUCUAGGAAAAGUUUUUUCUUUUGUUCUUUGCACCUUAGUUUCCACAUCUGUAAAACUGGGGAUGAUAAUAAUACCUAUAUGGUAGGGGUUGCUGGGAGAAGUAAAUGAAUUACAGCAUUUGUGAAGUUUGUAGCACGUAUUUGAUGCAGAGUUAGCACUUGUAUUUAUUAUCACUAUCCUUGAAAUAGAUUUCACAGUUACUAUUAGCUCAUCCAUCAUCUACUUUAUUAAACCCAAAUGGAUUGAAAACUUUAAAAUGUAGGGAAUUCCUACUCUGAGUAUAUUAUAUAUAAAGCUCUUGGGAGCUUUUUGUUUUCUCUGCAUGUCUUUGCUCUAGACAGCUGAAAGAAAUGGCUUUUGCUUAAGCUGGCAGUGAGGGAGGCUGUAGGUAAUAGGUGAGUAGAUAAUCGGUGAACAAUGGGAAGAAAGUACAUUGGGAGCCAAUAUCACUUUCCCUUUACCAGAUGUUUCACAUGUGAGUUGUUACCCCCCCCCCCCCCGCUGGUGCACACAUAUAUUGUGGAUUUAAUCUAAAUAUUCAGGGUAGUGUGAAACGUAUAUUCCUUGCCUGAAUUGGUUGCUAAUAAAGGAAAACAUUUUUUCUAUUGCCUGACCUUAGUCCUGUCUUUCUAACUAAUUAGGUUACUGAUUCUGUCAGUUUUGUCUUGCAGCUUCCUUGUCCUUUAUUAAGUUCCUCUGGCUGGAUGUGGCCUUUUAAAGUGCAGAUGUCUGAUAGAACUGAAAAGUGAACAGAGUGGAUAUUGUUAAUGUUUGAGCAACAGGAGAAACUAAAAAGACAAAUGUAGGGCCCAUGAAAGAUUCUGUUCUUGGGGAGUGGGUGGAAGAGUGUCAAAUUUAAAUUAUUGUCAUUUUGAGCUACAAAUAGUGAUUAAAAAGGGAAGGGCUAAUCAAGCUGAGGACUUAAAUCCAAAAGGCUUGGGCUCAAACUCCAAGGCAGGUUACGGUUUCUGAGCCUAAGUUUCUUUAAAAGUAAAAAGGAAAUAAUAAUAACUAACCAUAGAUUUUUGAGGAGUCAGUGAAAAAAAGUGUGUUGAAGUAUACUUAACACAAAGCCACUUGAGUUGAAUUCAAGGAAAACACUGCCACUAUUUGCUGUAAAUCCUCUCUGUUCCUUCUUCAGAAGUGUUUCAACACUCUGAAAAAAGAAUAAGCUAGAAUCGAAGUCCACUAUUAAUUCUGAGCUAUAUGUCAAAUUAUGUUCUUGUCUAUUUUAAAAAAAGUUACUUGAAUUUUCAACUGGUGUUCACUGUAUUCAAAUGGAAUUCAUUGAAGCAUAGAUACUUCAGAGUUCAGUGAGAAGCCAGACUCUAGUCUGGUGAAAAGAGUAGACUCUAAGGGGGGAAUCUCUGCUUACUCUUCAAAUCAGUCCAGCCUCGCUAAGUCUAGUUUUAAGACCGAUAAUGGGUCCUGGAAUACCUCUUCAUUCCAAGGUGAAACUAAAAUCAAAUGGUUUAUUAACUAGUGCAAAGAUGUUAAUUCAGACUUUUCAUAUCUUACUUAUUCCUUUAUUGCAAGUGUCUGAUGUGGAUGUUAUAAUGAAUAUAAAAUAGAUGAAGCUUUUAAACAUCUCAAAAAACAGGGUAGCUUUGAAAAUGGCCACUUGCUAACUUGAUAAGGGCUAAUAUUUAUCAGUUUACCCUAUUUCACUUGGUUUAUUGUUUUAUAAACAAAUUAUCUGAGCCUUUUUUCUACUACCUUGAAGUUGGCUUCAGACAUCGAAAUUAAGUUGCUCAGAUGCUAUGCUAAUACACACACACACACAUAUUUAGGUUUUUUAUAGGAACAGAAGAGUGGCAUUUACUGUUUUUUUUUCAAAAAAGGCUUUUAAAAAAACAGUAAAUAGCUUGUUUAAAAUUUUUUUUUUUUUCCCAACGUUUAUUUAUUUUUGGGACAGAGAGAGACGGAGCAUGAACGGGGGAGGGGCAGAGAGAGAGGGAGACACAGAAUCCGAAACAGGCUCCAGGCUCUGAGCCAUCAGCCCAGAGCCUGACGCGGGGCUCGAACUCCCGGACCGCGAGAUCGUGACCUGGCUGAAGUCGGACGCUUAACCGACUGCGCCACCCAGGCGCCCCUAAAUAGCUUGUUUUAAAUAAAGAACAUACAUAUAUCCCUCAGUCUCUAAAUGGGAACGUGGUGAGCCAAUGGAGGAGGCAGGUCUUUUCAUUUCUAAUCUGUCUCCCUGUGUAUGGAUGCAUUCCUGGUUUUCUUAAACUCUUUGAUUUCCUAGAUUUACUCUGUUCUUCUAGAGCUCUGAUUUCAUCAAAUAGUUCCAUUCAAGUGGCUGAUAAUAAGGCCAUAACCUUGUAGGCAUUAGACCUAAGAUUUAAUGCUUGUUCUACCAAUAAUUAGUUAUGAGAAGUUUUCAUAACUCAUUUAAAUCUGUAUUUUCUUGAAAUACCCAUCUUGUAUGAAAGUUGUAAGAAUUAAAUGUGUAAAAAAGCUUAGUGCCUGACAUAUAGUACUACUAUAAAAAUAGCUAAUGAUAGGUAACACUAACAUAGUACUUACUAUAUGUAGGAAGCAUAUUAAGCACUUUGCAUGGAUUAUCUCUUUUAAUCAUUACAAUAAUCCUAUGAAGUAUGUACUGUUAUUCCCUUUUUACAGAAGAGGAAAGUGGCUGUGGAGUUGGGCUUUUAACCAGUUGGCUAUUGUCUCUCUGUAUGUGGUAUAUUUAUAGAAUAUUAAGUACCAGUGAUGAUCCCAAUUCCUGAGAUGUUAGAAUGUGGAAAAUGUGGCUUUUAGAAACAAUGGAAUUGAUACUUCCUGUUUGUAUUUGUCCUUUUUUCAUAUCCUGACCACCAUAAGGAAGUGGUAUUUUAACGAUUAGUUUGAUGACGUUAAGCAGGUUGAUUAGGGGAAGAGUCAGCUAGAAAGCUAUUAGAGUAAUGCACAGACCUGAAAUAAUGUCUGAAAUAGAGUGGUGAAAGUAAGAGAGAAAAAAGGACUAAAGACUUUAUUCAUUUUUAAAAGUUGAAAUGUAUAUGAAAAUAUGAAAUAUAUGAAAUAUAUACAUGGCAAAAAAUUCAAAUGGUAUGCAAGGAUAUAUAUAUUAUAGUAAGUAUAAAAUAUAUAUUAAAGAAUAGAGGUACAAGGAUAUAUAUUGUGAAUGUAUAAAAUACAUUGUGCAUAUUAAAGGGUAAAUUUCCUUCCCUACUCCACAUCCUUGAUCCCCCUCUUCAGAGACAGCCACUGUUACUGGUUUCUUUUGUAAUACCACUGUAUUCAUUCUCUCUUUUAUAAUAUUUUCUAUAUUUUGAAAAAUUAGUGGGACAUGCAGACUGGCAUAUUUGUAUAUUUUGAUUUUUCUUGUCAAGAACUGUGAAGGCUCUUGAGAUUUUACCGUAUCUGCUAGCUAACAAGUUAACCUGCCUCAGUUUAAUGGAUCUGACUGAGACUCUUGGGUCAGAGACAGGACUUUAAUACUCGGCAUAGCAGCCAGCAUAAGCUUCGUGUUAGAAUUGGUUUUCCUUCACCCUCACAUCCCAUGGGAGUGACAUGGAACAGCCUGGGCGAAUGCUGUACCUCACAACUGAGGAACCCAACCCCAGUUACAAGAGCACUUGCCCAACCUUUGCCCAAGAGGGAGAUAUUCUCUACAAAAAUCCUUGAAAAGAUAGCGUGGAAUGAAAGCUGUUAAUGGCUAGUGCCUCUGCUCAUGUGCAGAGAUGUGCAGAAAAACCCACACCCAUGAAAAAUUGUCUACCAGUACUACUGCUUCUUCCUCCUUCCACUUAGGAAAAAAAAAAAAGAUUUUUAUAUUAAUUUCAGUCAUGAGGGAGGAGAUAGUGUUUUUCAAGCAUUUAUAUUUUCACUAGAAAAAUUGAUAGUCUUAUGUGGCUAUAAAUAAUAAAAAUAAUUAUGUGGAUAUUCAGGAAGCUCUCAGUAAUCUGUCCUUUUGUGACAGUGCCUCUUGAGUUAGAGUCAGCUAACCAAGUGCAAUUUUAAAAUCUGUUUAGUUCUUAAAAUGCAGUUGUAUUUAAAUCUUCCAUUCCUCACUUAUUAAAUGUUUUAUCCCCAUAUCAGCUAAGCAGAUGUGAUAAUGCUUUAAGAGGUUAUAUAGUGCUUUCAGAGAAACUAUUAUUUGAACCUCAAAACAUUCCUGUUUUAUAUAGGUGCAGAAAUUGAGGCUUAAAAAUAUCAAGCGAUUUGUGUAAAGUCACAUGUUAGUAAGUGACAGAGUGGUGAUUUAAACCCAAAUUUAAAAAAAUUAAAAAAAAUGUUUUUUAAUCUUUAUUUUUGAGAGAGAGAGAGAGAGAGUGCGAGUGGGAGAGGAACAGAGAGAGAGGGAGACACAGAAUCUGAAGCAGGCUCCAGGCUCUGAGCUGUCAGCACAGAGCCCGACACGGGGCUUGAACUCAUGAACCGUGAGAUCAUGACCUGAGCCAAAGUCAGACGCUUAACCAACUGAGCCACCCAGGCGCCCCUAAAAAAAAUUUCUUUUUAAUCUGAAACUCCAGUGGUUUUUUUCUUUAAAGUAGCUCCUUUUUUCCUGACCUCAAUCAGUAGUCUGCUUUCAAUGAUUUGGACUUUAAAACACGUAAUUUUGGGUAGAAGUGUCUGUGUGUGUGUUUGUGUAUAAACUCAUGUGCAAAUCCAGAAUUACAGGUCAGCCAGACAGUGCCUCAAAAUAGAUUUUCCAAUAUAUAGCUACAUAGCCCCAGAUUUUCCAGUAUGUAGCUACAUAGCCCCAGAGACCAGACUGAUUUUCAAGAUUAUCUCUGCAUUUUUCUUUUCUUUUUUUUCCUCUGUAUUAUUCAUUUUAAGUAAAGUUGUGUGGCAGAUCCUGGAGUAAUGAGGAAGGGAUCAAAUAUUGACCCCAAACUGAAGCUAUUUUAACUUAGAGAUUGGUGGUGUUUAAUUUGGUAAUAUAUAGGGAAGUUGGAAAGAUAAAUAGGAUUAACGGUAGAGGUGUUAAGUUUCAUUUUAUACUUGAUGAAUGUUUUGUUUUUAGUAAGAUAUUUUGUUUGUCAAUCCAUACUGAAUAGGAAGCAUGGAAAAUGGAGAAAAAUAUAAAAAAUAGAAUAUGAAAGUAAGAGUUUCUUAUAAUCUUGUUAUAAUAAUGACAGAUAAGCACUUUAAAUUGUUAUGGCCUUCCAGUCUUUUAGUGUCUAUAUUGAAUAUAAUUGGGAUGGUAGUUUAUGCUUUUUUAUUUCAUUUAACUCUGAUGUUUUCUAGUUACGAUUGUGGCACAAAUACAUCUUUCAGUGUCAUUAUUUUUAGGAAAUAUGAUUUUUGGUAGCAACAUAAUAUGAUUUGGGGGGGGGCACCUGGGUGGCUUAGUAGGUUGAGUGUCUUGAUUUGGCUCAGGUCAUGAUACCCCCUCCUCCCCCCGCCCCCCAGCGUUGGUCUCUGUGCUGAGCAUGGAGCCUGCUUGGGAUAGUCUCUCUCUGUCUGUCUCUGUCUGUCUGUCUGUCUCUCUCUCUCUCUCUCUCUCUCUCUCACCCUCUCCCCUGCUCAUGCUCACGUGUGCAUUCUCUCAAAUAGGAAACAAAUUUUUUUAAAUAAUAUUUUUGUUGGAAUUAUUAAUAUUUAUUUAAAAGAUCUCUAUGUUGGCCUUUUUGGUGUUUGUAUUUUCCUGUAACAAUACAGAGAAUAUAUUUCUCUAUAAACUUUUAUCCUCAUUUUAUACUAUUUUUUAGGAUAAAAUUCUAAAAGUAGAAUUACUAAGUUAAAAGAUGGAAACUUUCUUUAGUCUGUCCAUAUACUAUGUCAAUUUGUUCUCCUAAAAGACUGUUACCAAUUUUUACCUAAUGUAUAAGCAUGCCCAUUCCUCCAUGUGCUCAACAGAAUUAUUAUCUUUGAAAAAAAAUCAUUGCUAAUUUGAUAGCUGCAAAUAUUCUCUCAUUUAAAAAUGCAUGUUUUAGAUUACUAGUUCAUUAAAAUUAUGUUGACAUUUCUGUUCAUGUAUACUCCUUUUUCUCAUUGGUUUAUAUGUGUUUAUGAUCUCUUCAGGCUGUUAAUAUUUUGCCAAGAAUGAUUCAAGAAUCAUCAGCAUGGAGUUCAUAGAUGAGAAUAAAUAAGCUCUUCAGGGGCAAAAGAUCUAUGGAGAACAGAACCUAGGACAGAGCUGAGCCCUGAGGACAACCUACCCUGAGGGAGUGGGUAAAGAGACAGUAAAAUAGUUCGGAAGUUAGGAAAAGAGGGGACUGGAUGCUUUCCAUUCUCUUAAGCAUUUUAAAAAUUUUUUUUAAUUAAUUUAUUUUUUUUUUUUGAGAGAGAACACAAGUGGGGGAAGGACAGGGGGAGAGAGGGAGAGAAUCUUAAGCAGGCAGCACACCCAGCUCAGAGCCUACUCCAUUUCAGAACCCUCAGGACUGUGAGAUCAUGACCUGAGCUGAAAUCAAGAGUCAAGAGUUGAUGGCUUAACUAACUGAGCCACCCAGGUGCCCCUCCAUUCUCUUAAUCCUUCCUUACUUUAUUAUGAAAUCCUUUGUUUUCCCUCCAAAUUUAGUUAAGUAAUUCACUAAUGUUACUCCGUAAAAAUUGUUCUUUGAUUUAAAAAAAUCUCAGCUAGGGGCGCCUGCGUGGCGCAGUCGGUUAAGCGUCCGACUUCAGCCAGGUCACGAUCUCGCGGUCCAUGAGUUCGAGCCCCGCGUCAGGCUCUGGGCUGAUGGCUCAGAGCCUGGAGCCUGUUUCGGAUUCUGUGUCUCCCUCUCUCUCUGCCCCUCCCCCGUUCAUGCUCCGUCUCUCUCUGUCCCAAAAAUAAAAUAAACGUUGAAAAAAAAAAUUAGAAAAAAAAAAUCUCAGCUAAAGUGACGGCAGGUUCUAUUUCCUAAACUUUAGUUUCAGUUAAUUUUUUAAAGCCUUAUGUUGAUGUUGUUUUUAACAGUAUUGCUUGGGAAUGUGACCUUGGUUUUAUGUUUAUCUAUCUCAGUUUUAUGGACAGGCAAAUUAGGGAUAUAAGCAUGACCUUGUGUGUAAUUCACAGGUUGACCCUGGAGCAGUUGAGGAGAAUUUGAAUAAAAGUAUAAGAACCUAAACUAUCUCCUUGAUUUUUUUUUUUCAAGUUGUAUGUGUUUAAGACACAAAAAAGAAUAAACACUGUGUAUCCAUUUACUGCCUAAGAAAGAAAACAAAAACAAGAGUUGAAGCCCCCUUGUAUACCAUUUAGCCAAUCAAAUUCUCCCCUUCUUCUCCCAUUACCCUGAAACUGGUAUUCACCCCUGUAUUUUAUACCUGUGUCUCACAUUCUGUACUUGGAUCUUUUGUUAAUUAAACAAGUGUUUACAUAAACAUUUCUUCAACUUCAAUAUUUGGACCUAGGAUAGUUUAAAUACAUGAUUGUGUUAUACAUCACUGCUUUUACUUCUUUUGUAUUUGCUUUCUUUGAAUUGUUCAACUCUUCGCUAGUUCCAUGCUUGAUUUAAUCCAGUGUUCUACCAUCUUUGUGAUAAGUAGAACUCAGAAAUCAGAGGAUUCCUGAAUAGUUGUUGAAUUGCUUUUGGUGGCUGUGGGGAGGGUAGGGGUGUUGUGGGGAGCAAUAGGGCAAAGAGAAAUGAAAUGCAACAGAAAGUAAUCAAAUGGAUUUCUUCUAAAACAAUUGACUAUGGUCACUGCAUAGCAUCAUAAGCAGCUCUCUGAAACUUUAUGGCUAGAGUUUGUAAACUAAUUCAGCAAAGAAUCGAAAAAGGGGGACACACUUGACUCAUUUGUGCAUAGUAUAUGACUCAUUUGUACAGAAUGAAAACAUGUUUAUUAAAGCUGGCACCCAACUUGAUUCAGACAAAAGUGAAAGGCUGUAAGUUAAUGGAACACUAACUUUCUCAAUGCAUGCCAAAAAGAGUCCAGUAGAAAGGAUACAUGACUCCAAGAGAUACGGGUUGUGGACCUAGUUCUUCCAUGGACGCAUGUGUGACCUUAGGCAAGUUAAUAACCUUUCCUUGGAUCUCCGUUUCCUUGUACUUCUGAGAUAGAGAUAGGCAGGGUGUAGCACAGUAGGCCAUAUCUCCUAAGAUCUUUUACUUAUAUAAGUUGAUUCUAUUUUUAAUUAUGGAUCUUAAAGUAUUUACUCCUGAAAAUUUAUUAAGGCUUAUGACUUACGAAACUUUCUUGAAAUUUUAGGGAAGACAUAUAAGGAAUUUACAUAAGACAGCUGUGCAAAAUGGAGCUGGAGGAGCCUUAUUUGUUGUAAGUAAUUACUCUGAUUUCUUCAGAAUGGAAAGACUUUUGGAAAUUUGGGUAAAUCUAUUGUGAUAAUCAGAAGUAUCUUAAACACCAGUGUCUUUGGUAUAUGCUGGCCAAGGUGGUGAUUUAAAUAUAGCUAAUUGAAUUCAUUACAUCUCAAAAGUUGUGUGAUUGCAGUUGAACCUCUCAAGUUUAAAUUGACACCAGGGCAACUCUGGGAAUAAGAAUGUAGAUUAUUUUUUGAUGAAAUUACUAUGAGCCCUAACAAGAUUUCUAGUCUCACUUCGGGUUCUUAAAAAUCAGUCAUAUUGGCUGAAUAAAGAUUGUAUGGCUGCAACUUGGGGAAUCCCAAAGUGGUUCCAGUUUGAAACUCACAGACUUUAGUAAUACAGUGAAUACAUUAGUGGUUGCCUUUAUAUUUUUGCUUUACAGGGUUUAACUCCAGGUAGAGGCCAGUGAACUCCCCAGCUUAGUUGUACAAGUAAAAGAGAGAUGUUUCUCCUUUCUGUGACAAGGCAUGAUUUUCAGGGAUUUUGUGUUGUUUAAAGGCAAUUUGGUGGAUUUGUAGGAUGAUUUUGAGUUAGUGGUAUAGUUUUAUUAACUGAGUUAUUUCCAGGCUGAAUCCUAGUAAGUGAGUUAGCCAUACCAUUGAGUUGAUUCCUGCUUUAUAUUUUGUUUGUCUAGAAACAUAAAAUUUGCCACAUAUUUGAGAUCAUUGUCCAAAGUUUCCAUUUUCUUUCUUCUUUUAUAUCCUUAAAAAAGCAGAACUUUGAGAGUUAGCAUAAGGGAUACAGUUCUUUGUUCACUGUACAUACUAAACAUUAAUUGAUGUAAGUGUUAAUCUCAGUGUGACUCAUUUGAUUUCCUGUUGACAUGCCAUUUCUUGUCAGUUUUUGAAGAGGGCCUGCUCUUUUUACGGAGAAGAAAUAAAGCUGCUUGCCACUGGCUAGUUUCUGUUAUGUGGGGAAGAGAUGGUGCUUUUGUACCUUCCCUGAAGUAGUGGGUCCUUUUGAUAAUCUGAUAAAUUCUUUUGGAACAAUGCAAGUUAUGUUCACACUAAGAAUUUUGUGUCUUAAUUUUAUAAGCGUUCCAGCACUUUGUUUGUUUUGGUAAUUACAUUAGAAGAUUCUAUUCUCGGGUUGCCUAGGUGGCUCAGUCAGUUGAAUGCACAACUCUUGGUUUCAGCUCUGGUCAUGAUCUCAUAGUUUGUGAGUUCAAGCCCCACGUUGGGCUCUGCACUGACAGUGUGGAGCCUGCGUGGGAUUCAUUCUCUCUCUCUUUCUCAAAAUAAAUAAGUCAACUUAAAAAGAUUAUAUUCUCUAAUCAAGUUGGAUAACACUUGUUUUUUGUUUUGUUUUUUUUUUUUGAUUUUGGUUCUAAAGCUAGUUCUCUUAAAUUCUGUUAACAUUACUUUUAUUAAUCAUACUCCUCAAAUGCAUAUUUAAUAAUUAGCCAUUCUUUUUGAUGCAAGGAUAGAUUGAUAUAUGUUAUAGUGGAAUUAAAGCAAAGAGAUUAAAGGUUUUUUUGUUGUUGUUUUUUUGUUUUGUUUUGGGUUUUUUGUUUUUGUUUUUGAGAGAGGGAGCAUCAGGGAGGGGCAGAAAGAGAGAAUCCCAAACAAACUCUGCACAGUCAGUGCAAAGCCCAUUGCGGGGCUUGAAUGCAUGAGCUGUGAGAUCAUGACCUGAGCCGAAAUCAAGAGUCAGACACUUAACUGACUGACCAACCCAGAUGCCACUAAAGUGAAGAGAUUAAAUGAUCAGUAGUAGCAUAGUAAUAAAGCUGUUAACACUUUUGAGGUAAUUUUGAAAAACUUUUUUUUCCUUUGUAUAGCACAGAGAUACUCCUGAGAAUAACCCAGAUACUCCAUUUGAUUUCACACCAGAAAACUAUAAGGUAUGACAAAAUUAACAUUAUGAUUAAUUUACAAAAUAUUUAGUAUCUUCCAAAUGUAUGAAAACAGGUGCUUUUUCUUUGAUACAGAGGAUAGAGGCAAUUGUAGGAAACUAUCCAGAAGGACAUAAAGCAGCAGCUGUGCUUCCAGUCCUGGAUUUAGCCCAAAGACAGAAUGGAUGGCUGCCCAUCUCUGCCAUGAACAAGGUACUGAAUUCAUUUUUGCCUUAGUUUGAAAAGAGAAGAGACUGUGUAAGAAUUUCUUCCUUAUGUAGAAAUUCCUCUGAUGAUUAUUAGUGUCAGAAUCUAGGAGUUUGAAGCCUUUUUAAUCAUUUGUUUCCUCAAAUUUGUGGUUUUGUUGGUUCUCUUAAUAACAUGGAGAGCUUUUUAUCCUUGCAAGAAAUAGUAGAGGCAUUAUGGUCACAGUAGCUUUCUCUUUUUUCUCUUAAAUGACCAUAAUAAAGAUAAAAAGAUCCCACAUGUGUAUAAUUUGCUCUCAAGGUAUUCUGAAAAUCAAUGUAUUAAACACUAAAAUUGUAGAGAAAAAGAGAAAAAGAUCUGAUCUUUCAUACCUAAUAUGAAUCUUUUUAUUAGUUUUUAUCUUUGGCUGUAGGCUCUAAUAAAGAUUUAUAUCAGUGUUUAUGACAUCGUAUUUAUGACACUUGAUGGCACCCUAUGCUUAAUAAUCAGCAACUUACAAAAAUGCUAUGGGUGACCCAUUUAAAGGAAGUUAAUCUGUUCAUACAUAUUUUAAGAUUAAUUUUUUUCUGAUGAGCUGUUUCAACAGUUAUCCACAUUUUACACUUACACUGUAUUAAUUAAAUUUUUGUGGUAUUAUGCUACAGUGUAUAGUUUAUGAAGUACCAUACAAAAUCAUAUAUUAUUUGAUUCUUACGAGAAUCUCACAAAUAAUAAGCCAGUGUAAUAUAAUGGAAAGUAUAUUUGACUUCGAGCUAAGAGAUCUGACUUUUCUGUAGACUUACUUCCUUAUGUACAGUGAAGAUUUUGAACUAGGGUAGAUCUCUUUAAAUUAUUAUGUUAUGAUUCCUAAGUGAUAGAGUUGGGACUGAACAUUUCCAGUUCAUUGCAUUUUCUGCUUGACUGAGUAUUGGCAGAGAUUCUGCUAUACUUCAUUCCUCUUUUCACCUUCUAAAUUUUAUUUGGUCUAUUAGAAUAGACCAUUAUCAUCUUUCUUAGAGAACAGGAAUGUCUUCAGUGAUUUGUUGGAAUCCCAUAUGCAAAUUUUAGAUUCAGUUCAUAUUGCUUAUUUGCUUUGUACAGUACUCUAACAUGGUUAUGGACCUUUAGUUUUAUAUUUUUUUGUUUUUUUUGACUAUGAAAAAUGUUACAAAGCAAGUUUGGUUGGUACUGUACUUAGUAAAAUAUAGUCAGGUGGGUUUUUUCCCCAAUAAAUCACAUGCCUCUUUGGGUAUUUUUUAAAUUACUUAACACUGUUUUGUAUUAUAGCCAACAUUCUAAAUAAUGAUUUAGGUGUGUUUCUAACCAUAGAUGAUGCUUUUUUUUUUUUUGCAAAAAAUUCACAUUGUUAAAGAUUAUGUUUUUUCAAGUAAUCUCUACAUCACUGUGGGGCUCAAACUUAACCACCCUGAGAUCAAGACUUGCAUGUUCUACCAACUGAGCCUUCCAGGCACCCCCAAAAUUCACAUUUUUAAUAAUAGGAGUUGUGUUGGAAGUCUUGCUGAAUGGCAAGCUUAGCAGAGUAAAAUAAAUGAGAACUAAUGUGAGAACAUCUCACAAAUAUUGUCCUGUUCUAUUUAGAAUUGAAUGUGUAUGUGUGAGAGGCAGGAAAGUGUACAGAGGAUAGAAUCAAAUUCCAUUUUACAUUUGAGACUUUUAAUAUUGUUGUUUCUUUACUCUCUUACCCCCUAGCCCCCAAAGAAAAAGCCCAAUCUUAGAACCAAAACAAAAUCCAGAAGCUCACAUGUUAGUUCUUUAACCAUCACUAGAGUGUAGGGAGAUGCACAGCAGUCUUCCCAGGGGAGCUCUUUCAAGUUAGCAUCAGUGGUAGGGUUCCAGGAACACUGUGUAUUUUCAGGCUCUAGCAUGUGUGUUCUGAGAGAGCUCCCAGUUUCACAGGUACAUACCUGGUUUAGUAUCCCCAAAUUAAAUUUAGCACAGCUACUUAUCUUUCACUAGUGAGCCAUGAUUAUAUGUCUUUUGAGAAUACAUAUCCUUUAGAUUUUCUAAUAUGAGAAAGUUCAACAUAUUUGUCAUCUGAAAUGCUAUUUAACAAACUCCUCUUUCAUGUCAAAACAUGGAUAUAUGCGUAAUUUUUUUAAGAAUGCCAGAUGGCAAAUCUUAAGACCUGAUAGAUUAAAUGAUAUUAGAUCACCUGGAAAGUUGUAACCAGGAUGGUAGUCAUGACAGACUGUAUGUAGACUAUCCCUAGCAAACAACUAAAACAACCUUGUUUUCAUUAACAGACUUGCUCUGACCAAGAGAGUUGUGCUUAGACAAUGAAUCCCUUGGUCCUGAACCUCACUGUGUCAAUACAUAUUUGCUAAAUACCUUGAUGUGAAGAGUUGGGAAGUACUAGUCCAUAAGAUUUUUGUAAAGAGUGUCUUGAUUAGAAGUAGAAGUUGUGUUUUAGAUUUUCUGGAGACUUAACAUAUGUGUAUGUAUGUGAGCUUUGUGUGUAUAUAAGCGUGUAGAUAUAUAAAUCAAGAUAGGCUAAUAGGUGAGCUUUGAUUCUUGCCCUUUUUUGUGUUGCCAUACCAUUUGCAUGCAUUGUACAUCACUAGUAACAUCAAGACUUUUUGAAAAAAUUGGUGAAAAUAUAUAAGUUUAUAUAUAUAUAAGUUUCUUCUGCCUCAGAAGAACUUUCGUGUUUUUAGCAAAUUGAAGCAAUAGUGACUUUAUGUGCUUUACAACAUACCUAAGGUUCAAUUAAUAAACAUUGUAAUUAUACCAUCUUAAAAUUUCCUAAUAUUUUAGGUUGCGGAAGUUUUACAGGUACCUCCAAUGAGAGUAUAUGAAGUAGCAACUUUUUAUACGAUGUAUAAUCGAAAGCCAGUUGGAAAGUAUCACAUUCAGGUCUGCACUACUACACCUUGCAUGCUUCGAAACUCUGACAGCAUACUGGAGGUCAUCCAGAAAAAGCUUGGUAUGGGACACAUAACUUUAAUGAAAAAUAGAAUUGUCUUUCUAGAUUUGACCCAUUUCUACUUAAGUUUUCCAGUGUUUGCCAUCGUACUGGAUGUGUACUUUUCAUCAGUAAAUUUUUGUCUUACUGUGGUUGCCCACCUUUAUUUAUUCUUAUUUUAUAUUUUUCCUUAGUUCUCGGCCUCAAAGUUGAGUUUUCUUCUUUUCCUGUAAUCAUUAAGCAUGUUGGAAAAGCUUGUGGGGAGUUUAAAGUUUUCAUUGUUAAAAAUUAAAUUUCAGUCAUUGUGUAAUAAUAGCAUGUGGUACAUAAAAAAGUGACUGCAUUGUCCUUGUAUUCUUCCAAAUGAGUCUUGGAACAAAUAAGAUAAGAAAAUAGUAAGAAUGUCUUGAGAAGGGAAAUUUUUUUUUUUUUUUUAAUUUUUUUUUUUUUUCUUUCAACGUUUAUUUAUUUUUUGGGAAGGGAAAUUUGAAGUAUUUUCUGCUUGGAAGUACUUGAAGUAUUAUUAUGAUAGCAUUUACAAAAUUAAAAGGGCAUUUUUCCAUACAAAACUGCCAUUGCUGCAUUAAUAACUGAAAAUCAAAGGAAGUAAAAGGAGGGAUACUUUUAUCUUGUUACUGAAUAUAAAGUAACAGUUUAGUUACUUUAGUUGGGUUGUAUUGAAGUAUGUAACACAGAAAGCUGAAGUCUGCUCAAAAUCCCACCCUCUAAUGUACAAAUUCUACUGUACAAAUUCUUUUUUUUUUUUUUUAACGUUUAUUUAUUUUUUUGAGACAGAGAGAGACAGAGCAUGGACAGGGGAGGGGCAGAGAGAGAGGGAGACACAGAAUCUGAAACAGGCUCCAGGCUCUGAGCUGUCAGCACAGAGCCCGACGCGGGGCUCGAACUCACGGACCGUGAGAUCAUGACCUGAGCCGAAGUCGGACACUUAACCGACCAAGCCACCCAGGCGCCCCCUCUAAUGUACAAAUUCUGAUAAUAGUUGUGUAUAUUAGUUUUAGAUUUUGUUUUACUUAUUUUCAUUAUUAAAAACAUAAAUAUGUCUUUGUCUUUUGUACUUUAUUUUGGCUAUAACAUAUGUAUGUCUGCCUCAUUUCUCUAUUAUAAGUUAUUCUGCAAUUACUUUCAUGCAUACAUAUCUUUGCAUACUUGUCCUAUUAUAUAUACUGAGGUUGUUUACAAGAAGUAGAAUUGCUGGGUCAGAUUUUACUAUAUUUUGCCAAAAUGCCUUCCCUAAAGAUAUGAGAGUACCUGUUUUCCUUUUAGGUUUUUUUUGUUUUUGUUUUUGUUUUUGUUUUGAGACAGAGAGAGACAGAGCAUGAGUGGGGAGGGGCAGAGAGAGAGGGAGACACAGAAUCUGAAGCAGGCUCCAGGCUCUGAGCUGUCAGCACAAAGCCCGACGCAGGGCUCGAACUCACGACUUGAGCCGAAGUCGGAUGCUCAACCAACUGAGCCACCCAGGUGCCCCUCCUUUUAGUUGUAAUGGUCUUUGACAUUAGCAAUUUUCUGAGUCUUUGCCAAUCUGACAGUGUGACUGAUUUUGGUAGGUUAAUUAUCACAAUCAAAAUGAAAAUAAUAUAUUCUGAUACUCUGCUGUAUAACAACAGACAGUAGAGAUGAGUCCCCUGAAAUUUGAUUGUUUUUAAAGGAACAAGUCCAUUUAAAUCCUUGAAUGUUCUGGGGCGCUUGCGUGGCCCCGUCAAUUAAGCAUCCAAUAUCCGCUCAGGUCAUGAUCUCCUGGGUAACAGCUCGCUGGAAGCCUGUAGCCUGCUUCCUGCUUCAGAUUCUAUGUCUCCCUCUCUUUCUUCACUUCCCCCAGUCAUACUCUCUCUGUCUCAAAAAUAGACAUUAUAAAAAAGAUAAAAAAAAAAAAAAGAAAUCCUUGCAUAUUCUAGUAUAAUUAUAUAGAGUUGUUUUAAGAAACUUAAUGUUCUUAAAUACUUUUUGUAUGCCGCUGUAAUUUGUUGUUUUUUUAUUAAGCUAUAUUGCUAUUAAAGGGUAACCUGGUCCUUAACAGCAAUCAUUUAUAUUUUUAGGAAUAAAGGUUGGGGAGACGACACCUGAUAAACUUUUCACUCUUAUAGAGGUGGAAUGUUUAGGGGCCUGUGUAAAUGCACCAAUGGUUCAAAUAAAUGACAACUACUAUGUAAGUAUUCCAUUUAAUAUAAAUUAACGUUGUAUGAUACCAUAUUUUAAAUUUUAAGUAUUUGAUUUCCUAUCCUGUGGAUAUUAUUUUCUGAAUUAUUCAUUUAGAAGAAACUGGUGGCAUAAUUAUCCAGAAGGGUUUUUUUUUCUUUUUUUCCAAGUUUAUUAAAAAGCAAAGAAUAGAGGAGGCGCCUGGGUGGCUCAGUCAGUUAAGCGUCCAACUCGAUUUUGGCUCAGGUAAUGAGUCUCACACCAGGCAGAGCUUGGGAUUCUCUCUUUCCCUUUCUUUCUGCCCCUCACCUGCUCACACACUCUCUCUUUCUCAAAAUAAAUAAACAUGAAAAAAAACACAUCUUAAAAAAAAAGCAAAGACUAGAAAAACUUUGCACAAAAUAUGUCAGUUUUAACUUCCACAUUGUUGUCUACUAGAAGGUUCUUAAAAAUUAUUAUUUUUAAACAUUUUUGCAUUUAACUCUAGGAGAGAAUGCCAAAUUUUAAAAAAUUAUAAAUUAUGAAAAAUAAUUUACAUAGAAAUACAGAAAAUAACCACCAAAACAUAACAUAAUAUUUUACCACUCUAAUAUUAGGUACUAUUAUUUUUAUCCUCAUCAUUAUUAUUUGUAGAAAUAAGUUCCAGAUGCAGAUAAGCCACUCCUAAGCCCCCCAAAUCCUAUAUUCCCUUUCAUUCUGAGGUAACCAGUUUCAUAAAUUGUGUAUAUUUUUCCUGUACAUGUUUUUAAACUGUUUGAGUAAUGUAUCCAGCCAUACUAAUGUAUAAUACUAUAUUGCUUAUUUUUUUUUUAAUUUUUAAAAAUGUUUUAUUUAUUUUUGAAAGAGAAAGAGUGAGCGAGCAAGCAGGUGAGGGGCAGAGAGAGAGGGAGACACAGAAUCCGAAGGAGGCUCCAGGCUCUGAGCUGUCAGCACAAAGCCCAGCGUGGGGCUCAAGCUCACAAACUGUGAGAUCAUGACCUGAGCCGAAGUUGGACACUUAACCGACUGAGCCACCCAGGCGGCCCAAUACUAUAUUGCUUUUUAAAAAUUUUACAGAAAUGGUAUCAGACCUCUAAGUACUGCUGGAUCUCACAAGUUUUGAUAAGUAAUAUUUUUAUUAUUUAGUUCUAAAUAUUUUAAAAUAUAUGUUCUGAUUUCUUCUUGGGCCUGUGUCUUUUAGAAGUACAGUAUUAAUCUCCAUGUGGAAUUUUCUAGUUACCUUUUUAAAAGAUUGCUUGCUAUCUAAUUAUAUUUAAUGGUUUUCAUACAUAAUAUUUUGUUAGUUCCUACUUCUUAGAAACUUGUUAAUGGGAAUUCUUUUAGUCCUGCACUGAGUGAGUAUGGAUUCUUCAAGAAGGUAUUUGCCUUGGUUUUCUCUUGCUCCUAGAAAUUCUACUAUUGCAAAAGAAAGCUCCUCUGUAUACCCUCCACUAUUACCCAAAGUGUAAGGUUCUAGACUAGGAGUUCUUCUUGAGAGACAGUUUAAUUUCUAGUUUACCCUUGAGGGAAUAGCUUUUUAGGGUCUUAACUUUGUGUGGUUGACAUGUCUCUUGUGGCUUGGGGCUUUGUCUCUUGCCCCUCUGGACUGUGAAACCCUGAAGCCAAGUUUGCUUGGUGUUCCACUUGGCUGCCUGGGUUUUCACUGAGUUUUUGGCUCUGGGUAUUUCUUUCUUGUCAGCAUAUUGAUGACAUUUACAAUUUUUUGUUUUUUUAAUUUUAUCUAGCAUUUUUAGUUGUUACAGUUGGGGGGGUGGGUCAUUCAGGAUAGCUAAUCUGCUUUAGUCCCUGCAAUAGAAAUCUGCAAUUUUAUUUUUUAAUGGAGAUAAAAUUUGUUUAGAUUUCUAGAGUGGUCUCAUUCUCUAUUGUGAUUUUCUUCAUUUUAAUGAUCAGAGAUUCAAAUUUCUUACCUUCUUUAUCCCCUAUACUUAAAAAAAAGUCAUUGGAGUGCCUGGCUGGCUCAGUCAGAAGAGUGUGUGACUCCGGCUCUCAAAGUCGUGAGUUUGAGCCCCACAUGGGGUGUGGAAAUAGAUUAUUUAAAUAAAUAAAACUUAAAGUCCUUUAAAAAUAUGGCAACAGUUUUUCCUUCUCCCACAUUUCUGUAAUUUACUUAAAAUAAAGAGGAUCUUGAUUUGCAGGAAUCAGUCAAGGCUUUGUGUGAAGCACUCUAAGUUUAAAUAUAAUAGCCUGUGGGUUUAUCCAAAAGAUAAAGAUUCUUUCACUUAGUAGUGGUAUGGUCUUUGGCAAGAUAAAUUCUUUUUUUUUUUUUAAUUUUAAGUAGACUGCAUACCUGACGUGGGGCUUGAAGUCAUGACCCUGAGAUCAAGAGCUGCAUGCUUUGGGUAGCUAUGUUGGUUAAGUGUCUGACUCUUGGUUUCGGCUAAGGUCAUGAUCUUACCAUUGGUGGGUUCAAGCUGAAAGCAUGGAGACUGCUUGGUAUUCUCUCUCUCCCUCUCUUUCUCUUAAAAAUAAAUAAACAAAAUAAAACAAAAAAAUAACUGUAGGCUCUACCAACUGAGCCAGCCAGGUGCCCCCAGGGCAGUUAACUUUUCUGGAACUCGUUUGACUGGUGGAUAAAAUGAAAUAGUCACAUAAACUUUGAUUGGCUCCUGCUUAGGAAAAAAAACAGCUGUGAAGUACAUUUUGAGGAUAGUUGGGUAGAUUUUCAAUAUGGACUUGACAUUUGAUUAAAGAAUUAUUGUCAGUUAGGUGUGGUGACAUUGUGUUAUGUAGAAGAUGUUCUUAUUCUUAGAUGUCUGCUGAAGUAUCAAGAGUGAAAUGCCAUCAUGUUUGCAAUUGCUUUCAAAAUGGUGCAGCGCAAGGGUGCCUGGGUGGCUCAGUCAGUUAAGCAUCAGACUCUUGGUGUUGGCUUAGGUCAUUAUCUCACAGUUUGUAGGUUCGAGCCCCCCUUCAGGCUCUAUGCUGACAGCUUGGAGCCUGGAGUCUGCUUGGGAUUCUGUUUUUCCCUCUCUUUCUCUUUCUCUCUUCUUUCUUUCUCUCUCUUUCUCUCUCUCUCUGCCUCUCCCCCCCACUUGCUCACACUUGCAAGCUCUCUUUCUCUCAAAAUAAACAUUAAAAAAAAAUUUUUUUUAAUGCCAUCUUUAAAAAAAACCAAACACCUCAAAAUGGUGCAGCCCACAGCAGGUGGGGGGGGGGGCAGGUUAUGUGCAUUAAAAUGCAAAUAUGACAAAUUAAAAAUUGUUGAAUAUAGGUGGUAAGAAUAUGGGUAUUCAUGCAUAGUUUUCAAAUUUUCAUAAUAAAUAGUUGGGGGACAUAAAAUCAUUAGAUGAGUUAAAGAUUCCUUCUGGCUUUGAAGUUUUGAACAUUUGUUGAACCCUAAGCAAUUUGAAAGCAGUGUUUUAUUUUUAUAAAAGUUUAAUCAUUGAACAAAUAUUAAAGAACUUCGAUGUGGCUGGGCACUAGAGAUGCAGUACUGAAUCAUGAUUUCUCCAGCACAGUGUCAUAAAACAUUUUCCUAAGUAAUUAAACAGUUUUCCGGGGGGGUGGUGGGUGGUGGGAAUGGGAGUAUAGUUUAGGCAUUUCUCUUUAAUCUUUCCCAUUCUGUUUUGAGCGUCUUUUGGUUAAACCUAGGGUAUAGCUAGGCACAUGGGCAUAUGUGUCUAUGUGUUUUAAUUGUAUUUGUUAUUUUAUUAUUUAAAAUUUACACAGAUUUCAGUAGUAGGAAAUAAUUUUAAUAUGACUUUUAUUUAUUUAUUUUUUUAGGAGGAUCUGACACCUAAGGAUAUUGAAGAAAUUAUUGACGAGCUCAAAGCUGGCAAAAUUCCAAAACCUGGGCCAAGGUAUGCUUUUAUUUCUAUAAAAUAAAUUUUAAUGGCUUAACCUAAUGUAAACUUCAUUUAAAAAUUUUAUUCCAUGUGUUCAUAGGAGUUGUCAGGUGCUUUGGAUAGUAUCAAAACCAACUUGUCAUCUAAAACAAGUUUUGUUUUUUUUCCCCCCCUCUAAAACUCUAUCAGAUAAUCCUCUGGUAUCUACUUGAAUAUUUAGAGAGAAGGGAAAUUUACUAACAAAUAGAAAUCUAUUCCAUUGUAUCAGAAAACAAACUUUUCUUUUCCUUCCUCAAGUUAAUUUCUUGCAUAUAUAGUAUAAUGAAAGAGACUGCAGUGAUAGUAAUAACCAAAAUAUAGUUAUUCUUUAAAUUGACCAAAGCUGGCUAGUUCUUUUUUUAUUAGUAUUUUUAUAAUAAAGCUCUCUGCUCAGAUACAUAAAACAGGUGCUCAUUGUGAGUCAUUGAGUAACCAGAACAAUUAAACUGGUUCAACAGUACCUGAUUUUGGAGUACCAUUACCAGGUCUGCCCUAGCCAAAAUCAAUAAAAGAUUCAGGUCUGUAAGUGGUUUGGAACUGCUUUUUUAUAUUUUUAGUAAAUGAUCGCUAGAAAGGAAAUAUUAAACUGAUGGUAAGACAGUAUUUUGACAUUAAAUUUUUGUGCUAAGAUUGUUAUUUUCAUUUUUCUUAAAAAUUUUUUUAAUGUUUAUUCAUUUUUGAGAGAAAGAGAGUGUGAGAGUCAGGGAGGGGCAGAGAGAGAGGGAGACAUAGGAUCUGAAGCAGGCUCCAGGCUCUGAGCUGUCAGCAUAGAGCCCCAACACGGGGCUUGCACCCACAAACUGCGAGAUCAUGACCUGAGAUGAGGUUGGAUGCCACCCACGCGCUCUGUUAUUUUCAUUUUUCUUUAAGUACUGAAAAUAACUUCUAAACCUGCUCUCAAUUAUUAAUUACUAAUUAAGAUGGGGUGCCAGGUGGCUCAAUUGAUUAAGCAUUCGACUUCGGUUCAGGUCAUGGUUUCACAGUCUGUGAGUUCGAGCCCUGCGUUGGGGCUCUGUGCAGACAGCUCAAGAGACGAGCCUGCUCCACAUCCUGUGUCCCCCCGCCCCUCCUCCACUUGCACUCUGUUUCUCUAUCAAAAAUAAAUAAAAAAUUUUAAAAAAUAGAAAAAAAAUUACUAAUUAAGAGAAGUUGUUUUUUGGUAUGGGUUAGCUAAAAUUAAUUUUAAAUCCAGGGCGCCUGGGUGGCUCAGUCAGUUAAGCAUCCGACUUCAGUUCAGGUUAUGAUCUCGCAGUUUGUGAGUUCGAACCCCGCAUCGAUCGGGCUCUGUGCUGACAGCUUGGAGCCUGGAGCCUACUUCAGAUUCUGUUUCUCCCUCUUUCUCUGGCCUUUCCCCUCUUGAGCUCUGUCUCUCUCUCUCUCUCUCUCUCUCUCUCUCUCUCUCAAAAAUAAAUAAACAUUAAAAAAAAUUUUUAAUAAAAUUAAUUUUAAGUCCAAUUUGAAUUCUUCAUAGUUUUCUAAAGAUAUCUUAAAAUUUGCAGAAUUCUAUGGGAUGCAGAUAUUAUGAGAUGUAAAAAUAUAUAGGUAGGCUACAAUGCAUAUAUAAAAAAGCAUAGGUCAUUGCUGACAGAUAAGUCUAGAAUGUAAAGUCAUUUUUGUUGUUUUAAAAAAAUUUUUUUAAUGUUUUUAUUUAUUUUUGAGACAGAAAGAGACAGAGCAUGAGUGGGGAGGGGCAGAGAGAGAGGGAGACACAGAAUCCGAAGCAGGCUCCAGGUUCUGAGCUGUCAGCACAGAGCCUGACUUGGGGCCCGAACUCACGGACUGUAAGAUCAUGACCUGAGCUGAAGUUGGACGCUUAACUGACUGAGCCACCCAGGCGCCCCCAUUUUUGUUGUUUUAUACCAAAAGUAGUGGGCAUUGGUGGAUAUAUCUCAGCAUUAUUAAAAAGAUAAGCAUUAAACUUUCAUUAAGUACCUUUUCUUUAAAAAGUACCUUUUUAAAAAAAAUGUUUAUUUUUGAGAGAGAGAGCACAAGCGGGGGAGGGGCAGAGAGAAAGGGAGUCAGAGGAUCCAAAGCAGGUCCCAGGCUGACAGCAGAGAGCCUGAUGUGGGGCUCAAACCCACAACUUGAGGUGAAGUCGGACACUAAAGCAGCUGAGCCAUCCAGGAGCCCCUAAAAAGUACUUUUAAGCCAUAAACAAUGUACAGAAAGGUCAAGUUUUCUAGAAGAUAAAUGAGUUUAAAAUGAUGAAUUACAAAUCGUGUUGGGAUGGCUGAAAAACCAGAUUUACCUUUUAAGUUGUAAUGAGAACAAAGUAAUUAAUAGAUGGCAUUUUAAGUAUAAUGCAUAAAGCAGAUGUUUUUUUUAUGAAGUGAAAGCCCUAAAGAUAUCUUAAGUGUAAAUCGUGAAUGGAAGGGCUAGAUUGCUGCCUGUCUGGUGUUCUGAGGCAUAUUUACAGAUAAAAUGAGGGGAGAGAUGAGAUUAGUAGAUUAAAGACAAUUUGUGGGCUUUACCAGAGGUUGUAACAGCCUUGAUAGCGUAUUUUUUGUGCAUUUUGUGAAGGGUGAGGGAAGGAGAAAGUUGGCAGGUAUAACAGACCAUUGAAACCUUUUCUCCCCCUUAAGUAUGUCAUAGGACUAUAAUUUACGGAACAACUAGGAAAAUGGACCAGAUUACUCUUGAAAUUACUUUCUUAUAUAAAAAUCCAUAAUUUCUUGAAGAGUUCAGACAGUGUGCAUGAUUAAUUCUCUCAUUUAUUGUUCUCAAAAACCUCAGUUUUUAUAAUCUUCCUAAUUGGUCCUUUGUGUUGGUAAAGAAGGUAGAUGAGCUUAAACCGUAGAGGGGACUUAGUAAAGGGAAGAAAGUUUUCCAGAAUAAUUAUUUCAUUGGCAGUUAAAGAGCAGCAGGUAUACCUGUGUUACUAGUUAACGUAAAAAAUUUACAAAGCCAAAUACUGUUUUUUAUUAAAGUUUGAUCUCAUUUUGCCACUUACCCUACAUUAGUUUUAGGUUCUGUCAGUUCACAGUGAUGUUUUGUUUUUAUGUUUAUUUAUUUAUUUUGAGAGAGAGGCACGAAUGGGGGAAGGGCAGAGGGAGAGGGAGAGAGAGAAUCCCAAGCUGGUUCUGUGCACUGUCAGCAGAGAGACCAACAUGGGGCCCGAUCUCAUGAACUGUGAGAUUAUGACCUGAGCCUAAAUCAAGAAUUGAACACUUAACUGACUGAGCCACUCACACGACCCAAUAGUGACUGUUUUUUUAUCUCAUUUUCACAGUGAACUUGUAAUGCAAAUAAUACUUAAUUUCUGACUUUGUAGGCACUCUUCAUUACAAUAUACUACUUAGUUACUUGCACUGUGUAAUGUAAUAUCUUAAAAGAUCAUAACAUUAUUAACGUGGUAUCAUUGUCCUGUCCCCUGAACAAAAAAUAAUUUCCUGUGGCUGUAAAAAGACCCUUGUAAGAUUGAUGACAGAAUUUAAAGGGCAAAGCAAGGAGUAAAAAGAUAUAAAUUGAACAGUUCUUUAGCUAAAAUAUAUGGCAGGAACAAGGUAAAUUGACAAAGCUAGGGAAUAGGAAGGGUGAAGUAGGAGGAGGUGCUGAGCUGGGCUCUAGCAGUGGAGGUCAGACAGGGGCAGAGUUGAGUGAUUACUUGCGAAAGUAUGUGUGGGGGUGAAAAAAAGACAGGUUCUUCUACCUCUGUGCUGCAUUAAGGACCUGUUCUUGUUUUCUUUGUGGCUGUGGUAGCCACCCUAGUCUGGAACCUGUUUUUGAAAAGUUACUACUACUGAUAGAGCUUUUAAAAACAUGAAUAGAAAUAUACUUUGUUUUCACUGCCCCUAAAGGAUACCCUCCUAAAUCUUCAGAUUCCCAUUUCCUUCCAAUUCCUCUGUUGACUUCCAAACAUAUGUAUAAAUUUGUUUUCCCUUCUGUUCACUAUGGUAGAUCUCAAUUUAAAAUAAAAUUCAGUUUAAAUAAAAUUCAAAUAUAAAAAGAAUAAAAUGUCCUCUGGGUUUGUUAUGUUGCAGUUCUUAGCUCUGAUCCUUGGGCAGAUGCUGAUCUCCUCUAAGCCUUGGUUUCUAUGUCUGUAAAAUAAGGCCAGUAUCAUUUGACUCAUGGCAUUGUUCUAAAGAUUAAAUGAGCUAAUAAUACAUGUACGCUCUUCAAUAAAUGGGAACUACUAGUAAUGUGUUACUUUUAUAUCUUUCAUAUUUAUAGUGAGUUUUGGAUAUGUCCAUUUUCAUACUUAAGUUUAGAAAAUCUUGCAGCAGUUGAAAUGUUUGAAUUAAAUAAUCCAUGCUAAUUCUUGGGUGAAAAAUAGUUACCUAACUGGGCUUUGUAAGGUAACAGUUAUUUUCUUAAGUAAAGAUUUAUAAAUGGUAGUUAUUAAUAGUCAACUUAAUGUUACUUUUCUUUUCAGGAGUGGACGCUUCUCUUGUGAGCCAGCUGGAGGUCUUACCUCUUUGACUGAACCACCCAAAGGACCUGGCUUUGGUGUGCAAGCAGGACUUUAAUUUAUAUUCAACUGUAAAUAUGUUCCAGGAGGAAUAAAACAUGAAUCU